AAAGAGCUUGGCAAAUUUACCAACUUGGUAAAAAUCCCCCUCCCGGCGCGCAUAUAUCCGCGCGCGGAUACGACUCCGCAUCGCGAAAUCCGGCCCCGUCGCGACUUCUCCCGAGCGCGCGAAGACGUCGGCCUCUCUCCCGCGCUCACGAGGAUUUUUCAUCGCCUGUCCUCCCCAUCAGAUCGAUCUCGUCACUCUCCUCGCCAAGUCCGCCAGGUCAGACUCAUUCAAAUGGAAGGAGAUGGAUUCUUGACAGACAUUCUUCUCGAUCAAGAUAAUGGUGGUAUGGAGGACGACCUCAAUAUUCCGAUCACACAAGGCAUUACUUCCGAAGGUCAACAAGCCCAUGUGGAAGUGCAGCCAAGUCGCAACACAAAGGGAUCGAAGAGGACAAAAAAUUUUGAUUGGAAGGAAGACGAAGUUAUAUGCUCUGGCUGGUUGAAUGUUAGCAAAGAUCCCAUUAACGGUGCCAAUCAAUCUCGUUCCAUGUUUUGGAGUAGAGUUCAUGCUUUCUUUGAGGAACACAAGCAAACUGCAGCUGUGAGGACAGAGAGUUCCAUUAUGCAUAGGUGGCUGACAAUUCAGUCACAAGUGAACAAGUAUUGUUGUUGCUAUGAUAAGAUUGAGCGUAGGAAUCAAAGUGGACAAACUAUCCAUGACAAGGUAUACAAUAUGUGUUGAAUAUUUACUUUAAUCAAUUUCGUAUAUUUGAACUGCACAUUUAUAUAUUGUCAAAUUCUCUCAACAGAUUUCAGAAGCAUCCAAGUUGUACCAGGAAUUAGACAAUGACAAUAAGUCAUUUACUCUUAUACAUUGUUGGAAUAUAUUGAAGGAGGAGGACAAGUGGAAAACCAAGAGGAUUGAACUUGCCGAGAUGGAAAAACUAUCAAACAAGAAAAAACAGAAGUCCAGACCAAGGGAUACAGAAGGCACCAACAAUGAUGAAGAUGCAGCAAAGGAAGUUGCUCCAGAAACCGAAGCAAGCAAAAGGCCACCGGGGGUAAAGAAGGCAAAAGAAGCACUUAGGCAAAGCGGUGGUGGCGACGCUUGCAUGGAAGCUUUGGACAAGAUGUGGUCCAAGAAGGAGGCUUUCGACAAAGAAAAGUAAAAGGCAAAAGAGGAGAGGUUCCUGGUUGCACUAGAGAUAGAGAAGAGGCGAGUGUCAAUUGAUGAAAAAAAAGCUGAAGCAGAAUUGAUUAAAGAGGAGAAAGAAAUAAUGUCAAUCGACAUGACUUCCCUCACCCCGCUACAGCGUCAAUACUACGAGACGAUGCAACAGAAGAUUGUCGCUAGGCAUUUGGCAAAUUAAAUUUAGUUCUAAUCCUGAAAGCUUUAGUUUGUUUUUUUAUUGAGCACAAUUUUUAUUGAAGUUCAUGUAUCCGUUUACUGAACCUUAGUUUCUGUUCGUGAUUGUCAAUGCAAGAAUUGCAUAAUCAUAUAUGUUCUGGUACUGCUGUGAAUGUUUCUGAAUGA